AUUGAACGCUGGCGGCAUGCUUUACACAUGCAAGUCGAACGGUAACAGGUUAAGCUGACGAGUGGCGAACGGGUGAGUAAUGCAUCGGAACGUGCCCGAUCGUGGGGGAUAACGCAGCGAAAGCUGCGCUAAUACCGCAUACGAUCUGAGGAUGAAAGCGGGGGACCGUAAGGCCUCGCGCGAUCGGAGCGGCCGAUGUCAGAUUAGGUAGUUGGUGGGGUAAAGGCCCACCAAGCCGACGAUCUGUAGCUGGUCUGAGAGGACGACCAGCCACACUGGGACUGAGACACGGCCCAGACUCCGACGGGAGGCAGCAGUGGGGAAUUUUGGACAAUGGGCGAAAGCCUGGUCCAGCAAUGCCGCGUGCAGGAAGAAGGCCUUCGGGUUGUAAACUGCUUUUGUACGGAGCGAAAAGGUCCUUUCUAAUGCAAGGGGCUCAUGACGGUACCGUAAGAAUAAGCACCGGCUAACUACGUGCCAGCCGCCGCAGUAACAC
rnacentral:rRNA from 1 species